ACACACAGCUAAGAUCUCACAUGGAGCCCACAUUUGAGAACCGGUGACCACUCCGAACCACGCCUGGAAAUGAGGAAGCUUGCCAGUCUCCUCCGUGCUGUGGAAGAAGCAUUUUUAAAGGGUAACCUACAAGGAAAAACAGCUUCUCAGGAAACAGGGUCCCUGCUCAAGCCUCUAGAGCAAAAAGAGAAAGAAAGGGGACCUCAGAGAGCUGUGGCCUCGCCCUGAGAACAAGUUUCCACUGGGUGGGCCACUUCCCGAGACCCUUCCCUGAGGCAGGCGCUCCGUGUGGACCUAGUCUUGCAUUUCGCGAUCUUGUCCUCGUGGUCCCUACGUCCUGACCCUGGACAGGUGCUCCAGGCAGAAGACCCCACUUACCCAACAACCGAAAUCAUCAUGGCAGCCACCACCAGGUAGUUGGUCUGGUAAUAGAGCAGAUUGCUCACUACACGGUUGUUCCAUUUGGAAAUGUCCCUGAAGUCCGGCCGGGCGAAACGAUCAGAGCCCGGGAAGAAAUCGUCCCAGGCACGGAGCGGGGCGAGGUUCACGUCCAUGUUCCUCUGCUUCGCGAGCUUCGCCUUCGGAAUCUGGAGGCGGCGGCAGCGACAACCAGCUGGAUGAAAGAUGACAGCGGGUCCUUCGGAUUGGUUCUGCGGUUAAAGCACGGCAGGGCUCAGAAAAUUGGCUGCGGGCGGGUGUGUUGGUCUGUCUGUGAUUGGCUGGAAGUGGUUAGUGACUCAGAGCAGUGGGCUUUAUCCAAUGUUAGGACAAAAAGUAACUAGCGGAAAUCCCCUACCUAAACUAAAGGUGGUGUCAGUUCUCUCUGGCAGUUUAAAUACAAACCAUCUCUUUUUAAACACAUCGCUUGUGUGUGUUCUUUGCCCUGAAGGGAGAAAAAAAAAAAAAAAAAAAAAAAAAAAAAAAAAAAAAAAGCAGCUGUUCAGCUGUCAAUAUAAGUGGAAUGGAAUGGAAGCCGGCCUCAGUGUCACUGAAGUCCGGUAUUGCUAAUCUCCCCACAUAUGCGUGCAAUUUUCAUGAGUCACUUUGUGUGAAAUCACACUAGAAAAAAAAAAAAUGGGAGCAAGGGUUUGACUGAAGUGAACUGAAAUAAAGUGAUUGCCAGCUC
rnacentral:lncRNA from 1 species